rnacentral:rRNA from 1 species
UACGGAGGGUGCAAGCGUUGUUCGGAAUUAUUGGGCGUAAAGCGCGUGUAGGCGGUUUGUUAAGUCUGGUGUGAAAGCCCCGGGCUCAACUCGGGAACUGCGCUUGAUACUGUCGAGCUAGAGUGUGGAAGGGGCGAUUGGAAUUCCGUGUGUAGCGGUGAAAUGCGUAGAUAUACGGAGGAACACCAGAGGCGAAGGCGGAUCGCUGGGCCAACACUGACGCUGAGACGCGAAAGCUAGGGUAGCAAACGGG